AAUCCGUUGUUGCCGAAAUAAAAGCGGGGAGAUGAGCUGCGGUGUGUGUCACGGUUUGGCAAGCGCGAUCGAUCGAAAAUCGUUUGCUCAAAGAUUGAGUCAGCGGCGUAUUAAAAGCAAGAGCCGCGGCGCGACCUUGCGACGAGUUUGAAUAAUUCACGGUAAAUUCGGUGCGAGUGCGCCGAGGAGCGGCUCUGGCUGGCUCGGACGCUCUAUCGUCGGACGGAACAUGACCCUAGUGUCCAUAAAAGGCGGCGCGACUUGCCAAAAAAGCGCGCACAGUGUUGCCGCGUCACUCUCAAUGAGUGGGCAGAAGAAGCGUCGACGGUGACGCCGCGACCUUGCCUUUCUUUUAUCGCCCAUAACGUGGGCGCAGGUGGAGCAAGAAAGUAAGUCUGGGCAAAGUCAAGGGCGCCGACAAUGCUUGCAAAUUUUAUCAAAAGAUGAGCACCGCCUUUACCACUUUUGCUGCUCUUUCAUUUUGCCAAUAAAAAUAUGACAGCUCGAGUUGAAAGUGGUAAACAUCCGUCUCUUUUGAAGUCGGCAAGUGAAGCGAAAAAAUCCACUUCUCGGUCUGGGCAAAAUAUCUUAAAAUAUUCAACAGAAGCAGGAACCAUCUUUAAAAUUUUCAAAAACACUUCAACCUCUGCUUUUUUACUAGCGAAUUUAUCUCAUCCCCGCGCCAUCUCUCGUAUUUGUUGUUCCACACAUCAUUGGAGUCCAAGUGACGAGAUUUGUUAGCUUUCCUGCUUAAUACCAUAAAAAAGUGUUGGUGCACCCCGGUUACAAUCGCGGCAGGAGUGAUUUGAAAGAUGACAUUGCCGUGGUCAUCUUGAAAAACGACGUCAAUUUCACUGAUUUCGUGCGGCCCAUUUGCCAUUUGUCUCUGGAACUCUGAUUACGAUUCGAAAAAAAUCGUGAACAAUUCUGUCACGGGUGGUCGGCUUUGGCUACACUUCUUCGGAACAAGAACAGACCGAAAUUUUGCAAAAGGAGAAACUGAGAGUUGUUUCCUACCAGGAGUGUUUUUCAAGCAAGAAGAAGUUCUUUUCCAAAUACAUGCGUCUGACGGAAAACUUUUGCGCCGCACCUCUUAAAAAUAAGACUAGAGCGUGUGUCGGAGACAACGGGGCGGAAUUGACCUUUUACGACCGCGAGGUCACCAAACGCCACUUUUUGCGCGGCGUCGUCAGCAUGAGCUCAGUCAUUAAAUUGAACAAUGGUUUCGUUUCAUGCUACCCCAAGGUCUACGCUCUCCACAAGGACGUCACCAUGGAUCGUAGAAAACACCCCAGACAUAAAUCUUUAGAUUAUUUUUUUUUGUGCCACAUAAAUGUAGAACCACUUCGACUAUAAAAGCAAUAAAGAAUUGAUUUUAAUUAAAUGAUCAUUAUGAAUAUAAUAAUAUAUUUUGUAAAAUUUAAAUAAA